rnacentral:rRNA from 1 species
GAUGAACGCUGACAGAAUGCUUAACACAUGCAAGUCAACUGUGGCGGACGGGUGAGUAACGCGUAAAGAACUUGCCUCACAGUUAGGGACAACAUUUGGAAACGAAUGCUAAUACCUGAUACUGUGAGAGAGCUUUGCGUCCCAUUAGAGAGUUGGAGAGGUAACGGCUCACCAAGGCGAUGAUGGGUAGCCGGCCUGAGAGGGUGAUAGCCCACAAGGGGACUGAGACACGGCCCUUACUCCGACGGGAGGCAGCAGUGGGGAAUAUUGGACAAUGGACCAAAGUCUGAUCCAGCAAUUCUGUGGGCACGAUGAAGUUUUCGGAAUGUAAAGUGCUUUCAGUUGGGAAGCGGUACCAACAGAAGAAGUGACGGCUAAAUACGUGCCAGCAGCCGCGGUAAUUC